CAGGAUGAUAGCCUGAAUGACUUAAGUAAAAUUGCUGCAUUUGAUUUUGAUGGGUGUCUUGCAAAAACUGCUGUGAAUAAAGUGGGUGCAGACGUUUGGUCCCUCAUGUAUCCUUCAAUUCCUGAUAAACUACAAAGCUUAUACAAGGAUGGGUACAAGCUGGUAAUUUUCACCAAUGAAUUCAAUAUUGAACGUUGGAAAAAUAAGAGACAAGUAGCCGUGGACU